CGUGUCGUGAGAUGUUGUCUUAAGUGACGCAACGAGCGCAACCCUUACUACUAGUUGCCCUAAUUAAGUUUGGAACUCUAGUGGGACUGCCGGUGCUAAGCCGGAGGAAGGUGGGGAUGACGUCAAGUCCUCAUGGCCCUUAUGAGCAGGGCUUCACACGUCAUACAAUGGUAGGUACAAACGGUUGCCAACCCGCGAGGGGGAGCUAAUCUGAGAAAGCCUAUCGUAGUCCGGAUUGCACUCUGCAACUCGAGUGCAUGAAGUCGGAAUCGCUAGUAAUCGCAGAUCAGCAUGCUGCGGUGAAUACGUUCCCGGGUCUU
rnacentral:rRNA from 1 species